UCUUUGGUUCUCUUUCCUCCGAAAGUGUUUCAGUGAGAAAAUGAACUUUAAUUAUUCUCUGUAUUUGUUUCUUGGUUUUUUUUGCUUCAUCAAUGAAUGCUUUAUCACAUGUUUUAUUCCACUCGAGGUCUGAUUGAGUAUAUAUUCAUUUCAUAGCAACAGCAAUGGAUCUUGUCACGCGUCAAUGGCGAAAUUACCCAAUAUAUUAAUAGCCACUCAAGGUGUUACAUUCACAUUCGUAUACGUUGGACUCAGACACAUUUUGAAAUGACAAAUAAAUUGUUUAUAUAAAAUUGAUAACGCAAUUAAUUCGACCGAUUUAAAUUUUGGAGACAUAUGAACGUUGAAUAAUUCACAAUGAGAAUAAGAAGAAUCGGAACAAGAAAAUCAAUCGAUCGCUUGAUCAUCGCAUUGGUGAUUUUGAUGAUAAUUUUAAUAAUUUUUCAAAUGUCAAGCAAAAUAUUACAAAAGCAAUUUACUGUGAUCGACACAAUUAUUAUCAAACAUUUAAUAUAUUCAACCACUCAUUUCACAUGCACUACGAUCCUGGACGAUCAUUUGGUAGUCCGUUUUUCGAUGAUUUUCCCAUUUUGGUGCCGCUUUCGCAAUGCUGUGUGAUCCGUGCAUUAACGUUGAAAAUGUUAUUGAAAGCCAAACCACUAUCAGUUGCAUUACAUGAGUGAUUGGUGAAUGAUCCAGUUGCGCCAGUUCUAUGGGAGCCACACCCUGUAGCGCUCGACUGACGUAUUGAGGAAAUUCUGAAGCAAUACCGAAAAUGCAUAACUGAAAAACCCAUUAAAAGUGUAAUAAUCUUCAGUUAGAUUGUAAAGAAUUGCAAUUCUCAUCAUGAUGUAAAUGUAGAUUUGGAUGGGUCGAAAAUCGAUAUUUCCAUGAAAUAAAAUACCGUUUGUUCCUUUAAAAAAUUGAGCAACAUAAGUCAAGUUUCCGUAAAGUUGUAGAUAUUUAUAGUGAUGUAAAUUGUAAAGCCGAAUGUUAUUUCAAUUAAGACGUCACAUUCACACAUCAUGCUUCCCUCCGUCCGUCCAUCCGUCCGUUCUUACCAUUCCGAAAUGGAGAUAAAUUCAUUUUUCCUUGUACAAAUCUCGUCUUUAUGGUGCAGUUUGCAAGCCAACACACGCAGCAACCGACAAGAAGAAUGGCAUUUGAGCGACGAAUGAGUAUGUAUGUACGUGUGAGUGUGUACUGUGUAUAUGUAUUCAAAAAGCGGUA